rnacentral:rRNA from 1 species
UCAGGAUGAACGCUGGCGGCGUGCCUAACACAUGCAAGUCGAACGAAGCACUGCGGAUGGAGAUUCGUCAAAAUCUGCUUGACUUAGUGGCGGACGGGUGAGUAAUGUGUGAGCAACCUGCCUUUCAGAGGGGGACAACAGUUGGAAACGACUGCUAAUACCGCAUAAUGUAUUUAAAGGACAUCCUUUUGAUACCAAAGGAGCAAUCCGCUGAAAGAUGGGCUCACAUCUGAUUAGCUAGUUGGUGGGGUAACGGCCUACCAAGGGCUGCGAUCAGUAGCCGGACUGAGAGGUUGAACGGCCACAUUGGGACUGAGAUACGGCCCAGACUCCUACGGGAGGCAGCAGUGGGGAAUAUUGGGCAAUGGGCGAAAGCCUGACCCAAGCAACGCCGCGUGAAGGAAGAAGGUCUUCGGAUUGUAAACUUCUUUUAUGAGGGACGAAGGACGUGACGGUACCUCAUGAAUAAGCCACGGCUAACUACGUGCCAGCAGCAGC